UACGGGGGUGGCAAGCGUUGCUCGGAAUUACUGGGCGUAAAGCGCACGUAGGCGGCUUUCUAAGUCGGGGGUGAAAUCCUGGAGCUCAACUCCAGAACUGCCUUCGAUACUGGAAAGCUCGAGUCCGGGAGAGGUGAGUGGAACUGCGAGUGUAGAGGUGAAAUUCGUAGAUAUUCGCAAGAACACCAGUGGCGAAGGCGGCUCACUGGCCCGGUACUGACGCUGAGGUGCGAAAGCGUGGGGAGCAAACAGGAUUGAGAAAC
rnacentral:rRNA from 1 species